UCUGACCAAAUAUGAUCCGGCUAACACAUAGCCGAUCAACGAACCAAGUUACCCUAGGGAUAACAGCGCAAUCCUCUCCCAGAGUCCAUAUCGACGAGGGGGUUUACGACCUCGAUGUUGGAUCAGGACAUCCUAAUGGUGCAGCCGCUAU
rnacentral:rRNA from 1 species